CAAGUUUUUGUGUGCUUUUCUGUCGCGAGGCAAUACCGUUCCAUUAUAAACAGACUGGACGAAUGAUCGAUGAAACCAUCAAAAACCGUUUGACCACAAUGAGCUGCUGCAAUGUCAUCAAUUCGUUCGUGAACAAAGUGAUUCCUUUGAUCUGUUUUCAUAAUAUAAGUGCAUAGUCUUGUUUUCAUCAAUUGUUGGAACGUGUCUUUUAUUUUGCUUAUCAAAGAACGUUUCGUUAGGCUCAGGUUAUGUUCUAAAUAAAAUUCCUCAAGGUAUGUUAGAAAAUUUGACA
rnacentral:lncRNA from 1 species